AAUAUAACUAGAUUUUACAUCAGUACUCUGAACACAUCUCCUUUCUUAUAAUCUAAGCUCAUGCUGCCUGACACUGAAUUUCUUUUUUUUAGUUACCAUUUUUGAAAUCAGUACUGUAAGAUAGUACCUCAAGAAACCCGGUUCACUACAGGAUAUGCCUCUGUACUUUCUGCUGCCUUCUGCCUACAUGAUCAAUGUGAAGCCAGGCCCAGACAUGUCUCAUCUAGAAUGAUUUGAGAAGAAUUUGAUUUCACUUUUCUGAGAAGGUUGGGAAAGAUUCUGACUUUAUCCAGUUUACCAGACAUGGCAGUGAAUAAGUUUAUCAGGACAAAACCCCAUUGUAAAUUGAAGAGCAUCUGUAAAGGAAGAUGGCUAGAUCCUAAGAAGACAGCUACCAGCUUUGUUUCUUCCUCUACUGGGAAACUUCGUGAUUUCGAAGGUGAAGAAAUGUUGAUGGCAACUGGACUCUUUUUUUUUGAGAUGGAGUCUCGCUCUGUUGCCCAGGCUGGAGUGCAGUGGCACGAUCUCAGCUCACUGCGACCUCUGCUCACUGCAACCUCCACCUCCCAGGUUUAAGCAAUUCUCCUGCCUCAGCCUCCCAAGUAGCUGGGAUAAUAGGCACGCACCACCCUGCCCAGCAAAUUUUUUAUUUUAGUAGAGAUGGAGUUUCACCAUGUUAGCCAGGCUGGUCUCGAACUCCUGCCCUCAAAUGAUCUGCCCGCCUCGACCUCUCAAAGGGCUGGGAUUACAAGCAUGAGCACUAAGCCCGGCUGAGCAUAGACUUUUUAGGAAAGGCCAAGUGGUGGCAGCAUCCAGUUGUACAUGUAAUUCUGUAGGAGAGAUUUGCGAUCUACAGCCUGGGAUGACUCCCUAUAGUCUAAGGUAACUGUGAUUACAAGAUGUGCCAUUUUUUAAUGUACCCUUAACAAAGAAAAAAUUUUCUGAUUAAAUGAUGACACAGUGCCUUCUUAUGACAUAGAUUUUCAAAAAUUUUAUACUUACUGAAAGUAUUCUUUUUUUUUCAAGAGACAGGGUUUUACUUUGUCAACCUGGCUGGAGUGCAGUUGUGCAAUCAUAGUUCACUGUAACUUUGAACUCCUGGGCUCAAUUGAUCCUUUCACCUCAGCCUUUCAAGUAUCUAGGGCUGCAGGUACACAGCAUCACGCUUGGCUAAUUUUUAAAUGUUUUGUAGAGAUAGGGGUCUCAAUGUGUUACUCAGGCUGGCCACAAACUCUUGACCUCAAGUAAGCUUCUCACGUCAACCUCCCCAAAGUGCUGGAUUUAUAGGCAUGAACCACUGCACCUGGCCAAGUAUUCUUUUAGACUUACUUAUACAUAGAUUUUUUUCUUAUUUCUCUUUUUUGGACAUAUAUUUUUAUAAUAUAACAUUCUCUUACGUUAACAGAGAAAUGCAAGCAAAAUUUUAGUUAAGGCAUUUCUAAAACUUUAUUUCAAUUCUAAAUCGUGUUGUAAUCUUAAAAAAUAUCAGGUAACCUGCUCGGGUCCCCUUCUGUGCCGUGGGGAAGCUUUGUCCUUUCGCUCUUCACAAUAAACUUUGCUACCGCUAAAAACAAAACAAAACAAAACAACAACAACAUCAAAAAUCAUUGUAAAAGUCAGUUAAACUUAACAUCUGAGAUAAUAACCAUGCACACAUCUCAUCUAAAGUGAUGACAAUGUGAACAGUAUGAUGAAGUUCUGAUUUGCUCAUGCAAUCACCUAUGCCGUGACCACCACCUGGCCAGGACAAUUACUUGUAAGAGUUCAUUGACUGUAAGGCACAUCCUUAUUUCAGAGAUUUAAAGAUGUGGAAAAAAAUGUGCAUCUUGGUGCUAGAGAGGAUGUGGAGAAACAGAAAUGUUUUUACACUGUUGGUGGGAGUGUAAAUUAGUUCAACCAUUGUGGAGGAUGGUGUGGUGUUUUCUCAAGGAUCUAGAACUAGAAAUACCAUUUGACCCAGCAAUCUCAUUACUGGAUAUAUAUCCACAGGAUUAUAAAUCAUUCUACUAUAAAGACACAUGCACACAUAUGUUUACUGUGGCACUAUUCACAAUAGCAAAGACUUGGAACCAACCCAAAUGUCCAUCAUUGAUAG
rnacentral:lncRNA from 1 species